rnacentral:rRNA from 1 species
GACGAACGCUGGCGGCGUGCUUAACACAUGCAAGUCGAACGGAAAGGCCCUGCUUUUGUGGGGUGCUCGAGUGGCGAACGGGUGAGUAACACGUGAGUAACCUGCCCUUGACUUUGGGAUAACUUCAGGAAACUGGGGCUAAUACCGGAUAGGAGCUCCUGCUGCAUGGUGGGGGUUGGAAAGUUUCGGCGGUUGGGGAUGGACUCGCGGCUUAUCAGCUUGUUGGUGGGGUAGUGGCUUACCAAGGCUUUGACGGGUAGCCGGGCUGAGAGGGUGACCGGCCACAUUGGGACUGAGAUGCGGCCCAGACUCCUACGGGAGGCAGCAGUGGGGAAUAUUGCACAAUGGGCGGAAGCCUGAUGCAGCAACGCCGCGUGCGGGAUGACGGCCUUCGGGUUGUAAACCGCUUUCGCCUGUGACGAAGCGUGAGUGACGGUAAUGGGUAAAGAAGCACCGGCUAACUACGUG